rnacentral:rRNA from 1 species
CCUACGGGAGGCAGCAGUAAGGAAUCUUGCGCAAUGGGCGCAAGCCUGACGACGCAACGCCGCGUGGAGGACGAAGACCUUCGGGUCGUAAACUCCUGUCGAGUGGGACGAAUGACCUGGCCGUGAAUAGCGGCUGGGAAUGACGGUACCGCGAGAGGAAGCCCCGGCUAACUCCGUGCCAGCAGCCGCGGUAAUACGGGGGGGGCAAGCGUUGUUCGGAAUUACUGGGCGUAAAGGGCUCGUAGGCGGCUCUCUAAGUCGGUCGGGAAAUCCCCCGGCUCAACCGGGGAAUGGCGUCCGAGACUGGGGAGCUUGAAUCCGGGAGAGGGACGUGAAAUUCCAGGUGUAGCGGUGAAAUGCGUAGAUAUCUGGAGGAACACCGGUGGCGAAGGCGGCGUCCUGGACCGGUAUUGACGCCGAGGAGCGAAAGCCAGGGGAGCAAACGGGAUUAGAUACCCCUGUAGU